GCCAGUGUAGCUCAGUGGUAGAGCAGCUGUUUCGUAAACAGCGGGUCGUCAGUUCGAUUCUGAUCUCUGGCUCCA
rnacentral:tRNA from 3 species